rnacentral:rRNA from 1 species
GCGAUAAGUAAUGUGAAUUGCAGAAUCCAGUGAAUCAUCGAAUCUUUGAACGCACAUUGCGCCCGCCAGCAUUCUGGCGGGCAUGCCUGUUCGAGCGUCAUUU